rnacentral:lncRNA from 1 species
GAAGCACUGGUUACUUCCCCCGUCCUCUCAGCUCUGGGAAGGGUGGGGUGGUCAUGAAGUCCUGAGAGAGCAGAGGGACACACCAACUUCUCUUGUUGGUUCCCUCAACCCUGCCCAUACCUAUGGGUAAUCAGAGAUGGAUUCAGUCUCCAGUUAGGAUCCUCAUCAAGGUAUUUGUAUGGGGGAUUCCAUGCAGAUGGUGUAUAGAGAGAAGAUAGACACAAGGGAUCUUCAUAGCCAAGGACUGGAUUUGAACAAGUCAGUCUCCAGCUAUGUUUUAGACACUGAGGACUGUGCCCGUCAUCCCUUAGAGCUUCUCUCUGGGCCACUGGCUCGAAGGGCACAUCUCAGGGAAAAAGGUCAGUGUGAUUCCCUUAUUUCUUUGUGGAAAGACCUCAGUAGCCAAAGGUGUUUGCCCGUGUUAUUUGUCUGAACAAGAUCUUCUCUAGGACAGCUAGGUCCACAGGACAGCACCAAGAGUUACUCUGCAUGCUUAUAGUACCUGCUUACGAACAGAAACAGAGGCAAUAUUCACAUGAAAGCUCAAAUGUGGAUCUCUCCUACCAUAGUCACGUCUUCACAAGCUGACAGCCCUCUCAAUUCUGAGAUUUGUUAUUCAGUCUUUUCCCAAUAGGAUCUACAAAGCACCUCUUGACCAUUUAUCAUGCAUGGAACCAACAUGUCAAAUUCCUCAAUAACUGAUUCCCGCCUAGGAUCACACUCAUUGACUAGCUCCGCCAAUUCUUACAAUUCAUUCAGGCUCUGCUACAAGCAUACAGCUUUGCUAGAAGUAGAUUUCUUCUAGGAAAUUUCAUGCUACUGAGAGGUUGUGUGGCAGAGCCAUGUUGCCAUUCUUCCAGCAUGACUUGAUAGCUAAGUUGAACACUAUCCCAAGGAGAUGCCUCCUUGACAACUUACACUGCAAAGUGAAUCAUAACCCUGACCCUGGAGACUGCUAUAACGGGCUCCUGUGAGAGUUCUAUUUGCAGAACCCAGAAUUCACAACGGAACAUCAACAUAUCCAAAAGACAAGUUUCAAUGAACAGAUUCUCAGCAAAAGGACUCUAAGGAUGCAGAGGAAGGGAAGUCACCCAAUCUGGGAAGGAGGGUCAAGCUUGCAAUACCUGAAGCCCCGGACCUGGAACCUGAGGCUCCCGCCAGCUGCUAUACCUGUGAACCUGUUGAAGACCUGAAGCGCCUGUUCAAAGACAGUCAGAAAACCUGGAAAACAGGCAAGACUUCAUCUGGCAACAGAUUGAGUGGCUCCAGCUCAUGUACCUUGGGUGGACAGUUCUACAAUGCAUCUGUGUACUUCCUGCAUGACCCCAGUGGAAAGCCUCAGCUGUUUACAGAAACAACUUUAGGAGUACACCCUUCUUGGUCUAGCCACUUAUGCCACCAAGAUCACCUGCUUAAUAAGCUACCUGUCUCCCCACCCUGGACCUCGUUAUCAGGCUCUAAAUUUCAAGUGAGCCCAAGACAGCUCAGUGGGGUUUAUGCAGAGAUGACAGGACUUACAGAAGCCAGAAUCCCAGCCCAAGUGGAG